rnacentral:rRNA from 1 species
AACUCUAAGCGGUGGAUCACUCGGCUCAUGGGUCGAUGAAGAACGCAGCAAACUGUGCGUCAUCGUGUGAACGUGUUUUAUAGCCGUACUACCAUGGAAGUCUUUCGCAGAGAGAUAUGGUAGAUGGGCUAGAAGAGCAUGACAUAUACUGUUGUGUCG